UACGUAGGUGGCAAGCGUUGUCCGGAUUUAUUGGGUUUAAGGGGUGCGUAGGCGGCUUUGUAAGUCAGUGGUGAAAUAUGGCAGCUUAACUGUCAAGGUGCCAUUGAUACUGCAGAGCUUGAGUACAGAUGAGGUAGGCGGAAUUGACGGUGUAGCGGUGAAAUGCUUAGAUAUCGUCAAGAACACCUAUAGCGAAGGCAGCUUACUAAGCUGUAACUGACGCUGAGGCACGAAAGUGUGGGGAUCAAACAGG
rnacentral:rRNA from 1 species